UAGGAAUUAUAUUUGUCCACCACCAAAUGAUUGGAUAUUUACUAGUAUAGUUUGUGAGAAAUUAGGAUUAUUCCAUUGAGUUGUUUUCUGGACUAAAUAUGUGUCAGCCAACUUUUUUUUCCCUAAAGUAUGUGAGAUUAAACUUAAGAUCAAAUCUUGGGAGCAUGAUGGGUAUGAAACAAUUAGGGAAAUGUCUGAUGCCGUGAUAGAAAAGUAUGACAAAUAUUGGGCUGAUAUACAUGGUAUUAUGGUUGUUGCUGUCAUUCUUGAUCCACGUCUUAAGAUGACAAUGUUAAAUGCUUGCUAUAUUGCCCUUUUGGUGAAGAACAAGAUGAAAUUUAUGUGACAGAGGCCCAUGAAUUGCUAUCUGAGUUGAUGAAAUAAUACCAAUAAGACUUUGUUAGUACAUCAUCUAGUGGUGCUAGUUCUUCAGUUGAUGCAGCUGGUGUGUUGUCUAUUUUUAAAACCCUUGCUGCAAAUAAGAAGACUGCUAGCUUUGUUAGAAGUAAGAAUGAGCUAGAUCACUAUUUGGAUGUAGAAACUCUUCCUCAUGAUGAGAAUGAAUAUUUUGAUAUCCUGGUUGGUGGAAGUUGGAGGGAAUUCGGUACCCCACUUUGAGGCAAAUUGCUCGUGACAUUUUGGAUAUUCCAAUCACAACAAUAGUUUCUGAAUCAGCUUUUGGCACCAGUGGAAAGGUCUUGAGUGAGCAUUGCAAUCGUCUUACUUCUAAAACGUUGGAAGGUUUGAUGUGUGGCCAAAGUUGGCUUCGUCACACUCUCAAAGAUGAUGGUGAUGCAAGGACCAAUAGUUUCUGAUCAUAUCUUGAAGACAUUCAAGAAGAAAUGAGGGAGAUUCUUUCAUCACUACUGCUGAUUCCGACUCAUGAACUACUGCUGAUUCUGACUCAUGAGUUCUAAUAUUUGCUUGGCUCAAUUGAAUUUUUUUAUAUAAUAAUAGUUUUGAACAAUGAAUCUUGUAUGGUUGUAUACUUUUAUUUCUGUUAAUGUGUGAUGUAUCAUGUAUUUAUAUACGAGACUAGUUCAUUUGUUUA